rnacentral:rRNA from 1 species
GUGGGCAACCUGCCCUGAAGCGGGGGACAACAACUCGAAAGAGUUGCUAAUACCGCAUGUGUAUCGGAAUGGCAUCAUUCAGGAUACAAAGCCUUCGGGCACUUCAGGAUGGGCCCGCGGCCUAUCAGCUAGUUGGUGAGGUAACGGCCCACCAAGGCUUCGACGGGUAGCUGGUCUGAGAGGACGAUCAGCCGGAUUGGGACUGAGAUACGGCCCAG